rnacentral:rRNA from 1 species
UACGUAGGGGGCAAGCGUUGUCCGGAUUUACUGGGCGUAAAGGGCGGGUAGGCGGCCACCGCAAGUCGACUGUGAAAUCUCCGGGCUUAACCCGGAAAGGUCAGCCGAUACUGCGGGGCUAGAGUGCAGAAGGGGCAACUGGAAUUCUCGGUGUAGCGGUGAAAUGCGUAGAUAUCGAGAGGAACACCUGCGGCGAAGGCGGGUUGCUGGGCUGACACUGACGCUGAACUGCGAAAGCUAGGGGAGCGAACGGG